rnacentral:lncRNA from 1 species
CACUGAUGUCUGCGGCUGCUGCUGCUGCUGUAUGGCCUGCACCGCUUCAGUGAGGCCUCUGACCUGCUGAAUCAAUAGGUCGAAUUGCUCCACACCAACCGCCAUUGCCGGAGGAGGAGGAGCCUGGGAAACUAGAGGUGAGGCCGAAGCCUGAGAUCUGGCUGCGGAGGCCGUGGAUCGCCGAUUGGAUGCUUUGCGGGGGGG